CAUCUCUUUCUGGAUUUAUAGAAAGUAAGCCCUGCCCGGUGUGUUAGUAAACGGCGGCCUUAGCGUGAGGGUCUUAAGGUAGCAUGAUAAGUCGGCCUUUGAUUGGGGUCUGGUAUGAAUGGGUUAACGUUGGAUAAGCUGUUUCAUAGAAUGUAAUUGAAAUUAAUUUUAAAGUGAAGAAGCUUUAAUCUAAAAAAAAGACGACAAGACCCUACGAAGCUUCAUCUUAAAUAAAUAAAGCAAAGUGCGUGGUCUUCCGCUUUAUUUUAUUGUGAUUUUGUUGGGAUAACAAAACAGAAACGUACUGUUUAUUGAAAACUAACUUACUGGUGAUUUCUUAAUCUGGUAAAAAAUGUUAAGCUACUCUAGGGAUAACAGCGCAAUCUUUUUUAAGAGUUCAAAUCAAAAAACGGGUUUGCGACCUCGAUGUUGGCUUUAGGUGACUUAAGGGCGUAGAAGCUUUUAAAAGUGGGUCUGUUCGACCUUUAAUUCCUAACGUG
rnacentral:rRNA from 1 species